rfam:Desulfovibrio vulgaris str. 'Miyazaki F', complete genome.
GGAAGGGUGGCAGAGUCCGGUUUAUUGCGGCGGUCUUGAAAACCGUUGUGGGGGGAACCCCACCGGGGGUUCGAAUCCCUCCCCUUCCG